rnacentral:lncRNA from 10 species
CCAAAGUGCUGGGAUUACAGGCGUGAGCCACCGCACCCGGCCAAUAAAGGUUUUAAUAUCUCUUUGUGGCCACAUUUUAUGACCACGAUGAAACAGAUAAAUGGGAAUGCCCAUAUCAGCAAUGAGUAUUUUGAAAUUGAUUCAACAAUUUACUUUGACAGUUAAUUCUAAAUUUUCCAGAGGAACUGAAGUGUAUUUGAAGUAUAUUUUGAAGUGUACAUUUCUGCAUCUUGUAAUACUACUUUUUCAGUAACUUUUUGUAUAUUUUAGUUGGUAGAAUUUUAUUUUCAUUUAUGUCAAUUUGACUUAAAUCUGAACAUAUCUGAAUCUCAAAUUAUGUAUUGUUAUGACAACUUAAUUUUUUAAAGCCAUCUGUGUUUUAUUAAAUAAUAGCUUAGGACAAAUGUAGUGGAUUUUAGCAAUAUCAAAUUUGAUUUAAUCAUCCCACUGGUAUUUAUAAUUUACUUUGAAUAUUGUUACAAAUAAUUUGCUCAUAAUUUCUAUUUCAAGGCUCAAAGACUGUCAUGUGGAUAGAACUUUGUCCCAGAGAAAGAUCAUUGUAGCUAUCUGUGAUUUAUUAGCUUUGCAUUGGAUCCCCAUUUUUCAAUUCAUGGGGGGUGGCAGGGUUCAUGUAUAGUACAAAAAAAGUGAGUAGAGGAGAGAAACUUAGCAGCUGCGGUCAGGAGGGAUGUGGAGACCAGGUUACCUAGGGCCUCUAAAGCCUUUGAAACAAAAAUACUUUUAUUCUGAGAUAGAAACCUGUUGGAAAAAUUUCACCAGGUGAUUGAGUAUGUGAGGAACUUUGAUGUUGAUUUGUGCUUCAAUAAAAAAGAAGGAAAGCAUUCCACAGCAUAGAAUUUACCACCACUAGUCCUGCCCACAUAUUUUCUUGAGACUUCAGUAAGUUGUGAAGCAUUACAGAUUCAUUAGGGGACAAAUGACUAGUGGGAUGAAUCUGGUGUCUAGUAAGAGAGUACCAGUUUGGCAGGAAGAUAAUACCUUCUUGUGUCCUUAAGUGGAUUCAGUAAUAAGCAGGAAUGUGUACACAUAAAGAAAAUAAGCUGAACCAAUAUAUUUGGUGAUAUUUUUGAAAGUAAAUAUUGUUAAUUUGAUAAGGUGAUUUACAAAUCAAUAACAAACAUGUCAGGUCACUGUGAGACAACUUCAAAAAAAAUUGGCUGAUCUCAAUAAACAAUGUGUGUCUGAGGCUUCACUAGAAGCUGCAUCACAUUACCACAUUAAUCUCAAAGUUGAGGUACAGGAUUUAAUGAAAAAAUGAUUUCGAAUUGAAAGUCAAGUAUGUAUUAAAAGUAACAUGCCAACAGUGAAUCUAUAGCUGGUGAAAUUAUAUAAAUUGUUUUAUGAUACUAAUCUCCAUGGGGAGACUUCUUUUAUAUGUUCAUUAUAAUUAGUUGUAUUACAAUUUUAUUAUCAUUAUAAUGUGCUUAUUUUUAAAACUGUGGCUAUAAUUCUGCAAUGUUUUUCUUAUGAUUAAAAAUUUUCUCAUAAUAUCUGCCCUCAAGAAGGUUAAAAAUUAUACAUCAUUUAUCCCACAAGUUGAGAGACUAUUCUUCGGAUAAACAGUAUUUUUCAGUGAUUUAUGUUGCCAUGGUGAGGCAAGCGUUAUUUAAUCAGAGAAGAAUGUUUAAUGGAAUAUUCCAGAAAAUUAUCUGUCUGAGAGGCUGCCUUAAAUACUUCCUAAAAUGCUUGCUGAAAAGUCCGGCAAGAUGAAUAUGACUUGGAGGCUGGGUGGCAGGCCGGUUUUUUGGAGGCCGGCCUAGAGCCUGCCUGCAUGGGAGUCUGGUCGAAUGACAAGUCUUCUGGCAGGGGGAGAGGCUUGCUGGAACGCUGAUCGAAAUGCUGGCUGCAUGGAAGGCCGGUCUUCAGGCUGGCUGGCUGGCUAGGAGGCUGACAUAGAGGCUUGCUGGGAGAUUUGCCAAGAACCCGGGUGAGAGGCGGCCGACUAGGAGGCUGGCGGAGAGUCCGUGUGAGAGGGUACCUCAAAUUCUUGCUAAUUUUGCUUGCUGAGGGCCUGGUAGGCUGAGUCCGGCUAAGAGCCUGGUUGUACCAGGCUCGCUUGUUAGGAGGCUGGCUACAAGAUCCCGUGAAAGCCUCACGGCUCUACUCAACAAAUUUCUCUAGAAAGAGGCCGGAGUGUACAAGGGCUUCACUAGACCACACUUUUUACUGAUGUUGGGCUUGCUGAGAGGCUGGCUCACUGGGAGGCUGG